GACGAACGCUGGCGGCGUGCUUAACACAUGCAAGUCGAACGAUGAUGCCCAGCUUGCUGGGUGGAUUAGUGGCGAACGGGUGAGUAACACGUGAGUAACCUGCCCCUGACUCUGGGAUAAGCGUCGGAAACGACGUCUAAUACUGGAUAUGAUCACUGGCCGCAUGGUCUGGUGGUGGAAAGAUUUUUUGGUUGGGGAUGGACUCGCGGCCUAUCAGCUUGUUGGUGAGGUAAUGGCUCACCAAGGCGACGACGGGUAGCCGGCCUGAGAGGGUGACCGGCCACACUGGGACUGAGACACGGCCCAGACUCCUACGGGAGGCAGCAGUGGGGAAUAUUGCACAAUGGGCGAAAGCCUGAUGCAGCAACGCCGCGUGAGGGAUGACGGCCUUCGGGUUGUAAACCUCUUUUAGUAGGGAAGAAGCAAAAGUGACGGUACCUGCAGAAAAAGCACCGGCUAACUACGUGCCAGCCGCCGCAGUAA
rnacentral:rRNA from 1 species